rnacentral:rRNA from 1 species
AGCGGGGAAAGAAGACCCUGUUGAGCUUGACUCUAGUUUGACAUUGUGAAAAGACAUAGAGGGUGUAGAAUAGGUGGGAGAGCAAUCGCCGGUGAAAUACCACUACCUUUAUAGUUUUUUUACUUAUUCAAUGAAGCGGAACUGGGUUUUACCGCCCAACUUCUGGCGUUAAGGUCGUUUACCGGCCGAUCCGGGUUGAAGACAUUGUCAGGUGGGGAGUUUGGCUGGGGCGGC